CUACGGGGGGCUCCAGUGAGGAAUAUUGCACAAUGGGGGGAACCCUGAUGCAGCAACGCCGCGUGGAGGAUGACGCAUUUCGGUGUGUAAACUCCUUUUAUAUGUCAAGAAAAUGACGGUAGCAUAUGAAUAAGCACCGGCUAACUCCGUGGCCAGCAGCCGCGGUAAUACGGAGGGUGCAAGCGUUACUCGGAAUCACUGGGCGUAAAGGACGCGUAGGCGGGUUGGAAAGUCAGGUGUGAAAUCCUACAGCUUAACUGUAGAACUGCACUUGAAACUUCUAAUCUAGAGUAUGGGAGGGGGAGAUGGAAUUAGUGGUGUAGGGGUAAAAGCCGUAGAUAUCACUAGGAAUACCUAAAGCGAAGGCGAUCUCCUGGAACAUUACUGACGCUAAGGCGUGAAAGCGUGGGGAGCAAACAGGAUUAGAUACCCCCGUAGUC
rnacentral:rRNA from 1 species